AUAUGGUAGGAGAGCGUUCUGUAAGCCUGCGAAGGUGUCUUGUAAAGGAUGCUGGAGGUAUCAGAAGUGCGAAUGCUGACAUGAGUAGCGAUAAUGGGGGUGAAAAGCCUCCACGCCGUAAGCCCAAGGUUUCCUGUUCAACGUUCAUCGGAGCAGGGUGAGUCGGCCCCUAAGGCGAGGCAGAGAUGCGUAGCUGAUGGGAAGCAGGUUAAUAUUCCUGCACCGUCGUAUGAUGCGAUGGGGGGACGGAUCGCGGAAGGUUGUCCAACUGUUGGAAUAGUUGGUUU
rnacentral:rRNA from 1 species